rnacentral:rRNA from 2 species
GAGUCUUAAUUGGGCGUUAAGUUGCAGGGUAUAGACCCGAAACCCGGUGAUCUAGCCAUGGGCAGGUUGAAGGUUGGGUAACACUAACUGGAGGACCGAACCGACUAAUGUUGAAAAAUUAGCGGAUGACCUGUGGCUGGGGGUGAAAGGCCAAUCAAACCGGGAGAUAGCUGGUUCUCCCCGAAAGCUAUUUAGGUAGCGCCUCGUGAAUUCAUCUCCGGGGGUAGAGCACUGUUUCGGCUAGGGGGCCAUCCCGGCUUACCAACCCGAUGCAAACUGCGAAUACCGGAGAAUGUUAUCACGGGAGACACACGGCGGGUGCUAACGUCCGUCGUGAAGAGGGAAACAACCCAGACCGCCAGCUAAGGUCCCAAAGUCAUGGUUAAGUGGGAAACGAUGUGGGAAGGCCCAGACAGCCAGGAUGUUGGCUUAGAAGCAGCCAUCAUUUAAAGAAAGCGUAAUAGCUCACUGGUCGAGUCGGCCUGCGCGGAAGAUGUAACGGGGCUAAACCAUGCACCGAAGCUGCGGCAGCGACACUGUGUGUUGUUGGGUAGGGGAGCGUUCUGUAAGCCUGUGAAGGUGUGUCGUGAGGCAUGCUGGAGGUAUCAGAAGUGCGAAUGCUGACAUAAGUAACGAUAAAGCGGGUGAAAAGCCCGCUCGCCGGAAGACCAAGGGUUCCUGUCCAACGUUAAUCGGGGCAGGGUGAGUCGACCCCUAAGGCGAGGCCGAAAGGCGUAGUCGAUGGGAAACGGGUUAAUAUUCCCGUACUUGGUGUUACUGCGAAGGGGGGACGGAGAAGGCUAUGUUGGCCGGGCGACGGUUGUCCCGGUUUAAGCGUGUAGGUGUGUGUUCCAGGUAAAUCCGGUUCACUUUAACACUGAGGCGUGACGACGAGGCACUACGGUGCUGAAGCAACAAAUGCCCUGCUUCCAGGAAAAGCCUCUAAGCAUCAGGUAACAUCAAAUCGUACCCCAAACCGACACAGGUGGUCAGGUAGAGAAUACCAAGGCGCUUGAGAGAACUCGGGUGAAGGAACUAGGCAAAAUGGUGCCGUAACUUCGGGAGAAGGCACGCUGACACGUAGGUGAAGUGAUUUACUCAUGGAGCUGAAGUCAGUCGAAGAUACCAGCUGGCUGCAACUGUUUAUUAAAAACACAGCACUGUGCAAACACGAAAGUGGACGUAUACGGUGUGACGCCUGCCCGGUGCCGGAAGGUUAAUUGAUGGGGUCAGCGCAAGCGAAGCUCCUGAUCGAAGCCCCGGUAAACGGCGGCCGUAACUAUAACGGUCCUAAGGUAGCGAAAUUCCUUGUCGGGUAAGUUCCGACCUGCACGAAUGGCGUAAUGAUGGCCAGGCUGUCUCCACCCGAGACUCAGUGAAAUUGAACUCGCUGUGAAGAUGCAGUGUACCCGCGGCAAGACGGAAAGACCCCGUGAACCUUUACUAUAGCUUGACACUGAACAUUGAGCCUUGAUGUGUAGGAUAGGUGGGAGGCUUUGAAGUGUGGACGCCAGUCUGCAUGGAGCCGACCUUGAAAUACCACCCUUUAAUGUUUGAUGUUCUAACGUGGACCCGUUACCCGGGUUGCGGACAGUGUCUGGUGGGUAGUUUGACUGGGGCGGUCUCCUCCUAAAGAGUAACGGAGGAGCACGAAGGUUGGCUAAUCCUGGUCGGACAUCAGGAGGUUAGUGCAAUGGCAUAAGCCAGCUUGACUGCGAGCGUGACGGCGCGAGCAGGUGCGAAAGCAGGUCAUAGUGAUCCGGUGGUUCUGAAUGGAAGGGCCAUCGCUCAACGGAUAAAAGGUACUCCGGGGAUAACAGGCUGAUACCGCCCAAGAGUUCAUAUCGACGGCGGUGUUUGGCACCUCGAUGUCGGCUCAUCACAUCCUGGGGCUGAAGUAGGUCCCAAGGGUAUGGCUGUUCGCCAUUUAAAGUGGUACGCGAGCUGGGUUUAGAACGUCGUGAGACAGUUCGGUCCCUAUCUGCCGUGGGCGCUGGAGAACUGAGGGGGGCUGCUCCUAGUACGAGAGGACCGGAGUGGACGCAUCACUGGUGUUCGGGUUGUCAUGCCAAUGGCACUGCCCGGUAGCUAAAUGCGGAAGAGAUAAGUGCUGAAAGCAUCUAAGCACGAAACUUGCCCCGA